rnacentral:lncRNA from 1 species
AGAAGCAGCAAUCCUAGAAUCAUUAGCUAUAGCUGACAAGAUAUUGUCUUUAACAAUUUUGUUCAGAUUUGGACAAGUUCUGUUAUAGAAAUUGUAAUAUAGUUGAGAGCACACAAGUGGAGUAAGAAACACAAGACAAAACAUGAAAAUAAAAACAUGUUUGUUAGAGACACACUCCAUGAGCUGAAACUAUGUUGACAAACUUAAUUAGAACUUUGUGUGACAAUAAGUUGUAAGCUGAAACAAUUUAUAGAAGGAAAAAAUAGCACUUGUUAAUUGUUAACAUAGUUUUUAUAGAGUGGCAGAGCCACUAUGAUUGUCCUUAUCUGUUAAGUUUGUUACAAGUCCAAAAUUUCUGCUCUAAGUGGCAAGAUGAUGCAUGAGUAUAUUAAAAAUAGUCUCCAAAUUAGUAUAGUGCAUAGUUUACAUAUGAUGUUUAAGGGAGCUAGAUUGAAAGAGUGUUAUUUUAUUUUCGCCUAGUUGUCCAUGCACUACUAUAAGAUACUAAGAAACUUGCAUUUUCAUUAGAAUAAGUAUUGUGCAUUGUUAGAAGAAGAAUAUUUCAAAGAAAUAAUUAUAGAUAUAUACCGUAAGUGCUUCAUGUUUCAUGUUUGACUGUGUUAUAUUCAGUGAAUAUGUUAUGUGGUGGAACAUGAGUGUACAGUCAUGAUAUAAAAGUUACCAAAACAAAACCAGGGAGAAUAGAUAAUAAUAAUUUAUUAACCUACAUGAUCAACUUUCUGCCAUCUAUAAACUUGUGGACAACAAAUUAAUUGAAAUACAUUGAUUUUAAUUUGUGGUCGAGUUCAAGUAAUUGAUAAGUAUUGAACCUUUGAUCUAGGUCGAUUCAAUUAGGGAAGUAUCGAAAUUUGAUCUUCCACAAUCCAUAGCUACUUACUUUUUGAUCGAACUUUAAAUUACGGAAAAUGUUUUUUUUUCUUUUUAAAAACCGGAAGACCAAAUAAGUUGACUUUUCAACAAAAAUAACAUUGAGAUUUUGGCUCUGUUUGGUAAAAAUAGCGGAUAGCUGAUAAACUAGCUGAUAAGCUAACUGAAUUGUUUGGUAAAAAUAGCGGUUCAACUAGCUGAUAAAUGUAAAAUGACAUAAAGGGUAUUCUUAAUUCAUAAUAAAAAUUAUAUCAUUAAUUUAAGUAUUUGUAAUUUUGUAAAUUAAUUUUUCUUUAAAAAAAUACUUUAAAUUUAUUAAUUUAAUAUAUCCUAUGUAUUAUAAAUUAAAUUAAAUUUUAUUCACUAAAAUUUUAUCUUAUAUUUAUUAUCAUUUAAGUGUUUCCACUUUAUAAAGAAAAUAACAUUUACCUCAAAAAAAAAAAAAAAAAGGUAGCACUAAUAGAGUAAUACUAAUAACAGAGAAUAAAGAAAAUAACACUUACCUCAAAAAAAAAAAAAGAGGUAACAUUAAUAGAAUAAUAGUAUUUUGUUUCGUAAAAAAAAAAAAAACGAAGGUAUAUAUUUUUUCAAAAAAAAAAAAAAAAAAAAGGCCAGCUGAUAUAUAUACAAAAAUUGGAAUAAAGGGAUAGUAAUCUUUAUUACGUAGCUUAUUAUAAAAAUUAUAAUGGAUAAAAAUACAAUUUAAAUGAAAUAAUAAGGGUAAAAUUGGAAGAAAAAGUGAGAAGCUAUAAGCUAUAAGCUCAAACGCUACUUGAAAUAGCUUCUGAAAAAUAGCUUAUAAGCUCGUGAAAUAAGCUAUAAGCUCACGGUGAAAAAAUGUUACCAAACAGAGCUUUUUUUGUCAAACGAACUUAUAAGCUAUAAGCUAAAAGCUAAAAACUCUUUUUUGGGGUUUCCCACAUAGACCCUUUAUAUGAACUAAUACUAAUGCUAAGGUCUUAUAUUAUUUUUUAUUUUUUUUGAAUGGCACUAAGGUCUUAUAUUAGACAUUAACGAUUGCUCACACAAAGUGAUUGAUAUUUUUUUUAUUUCCCCGCCAUUUUGUGUAAUGGGAUCAAUGGUAUUAUAUGUUUUUUAUCUUCUAAGAUGAGUUUCGUACGACUCUACUACACCUGCAUUUUCUACUUAAGCGCAAGUCUUAUGUUUCAAAACUUUAUCUUCAUAUCUCAAACUUUUCAUCUAUCUCUUCUCUCGAUUCUCUAAUUAAAAUAAAGUCAUAAGGAUAUAGACUAAAUAAAUUAAUUAUUCAAUGAAUUUAAAAAGUCAAUUGUUUCUUAUAAAUGAGACGAGACAAAAUAUUAUUUUCUACAAAAGCAUGCACCAUAGAACAACUUUUUUAAAUUAAACAUGUCCAUCUAUGGAAAAUUCUUUUAUAUUAUCACUCACAAUUUUAAAUCUAUAUCCAACUUUUCAUCUAUCUUUUUUAAAUCAAGAUAAAAAUUUCCAGCUAUGGAAAAUUCUUCUACAUUAUAUCACUCAUAGUUUUAUAAUAGUUGUAUGGAUUGUGAUCUUCUCGUAUAAAUUUUUAAUUGUUUGAACUAGCAGGUGGAAGUAGGCCAGGUCGAUCGAUAGAGAUUUACAAUCCGACCUACAUUAGACUCAAGUCAUACCAGACUUGUUUAUUAUAAUAGAGAAAGCUUAGUUUUUUUUUUUAAAGAGAAAGCUUAGAUUUUUGAAAAGUUUAUUUAAUUAAAAAGGUUAGACCACGAAUUGUUAAAAAGUUUUUUAAGCAUAUAUGACUAGCCUAUUUAAAUAAACAUAAAUUAUAUUUUUAUUUCAUUUCAUUAGAUUUUGUCCUUUAGAUUACAUUAUAAAUUUGCUAAUGUUUUGAAUAAUUUAUAUUUAUCAGCCUACAAUAACUUUUUCAUAUUUAAAUACAUUAUUAUAAACUACCAUUAAAGUAUGAUAUCAUAUGUAGGUCACAUUUUCCAAAAUGUCAUGUUAAAUUUCCAAUCUUUUCACAAAUUAUAUUGUAGCAAAAUGACAUUGUUGCUUUGUUUCAUUCUUGAGAAAUGUAAUGGUUCCUAUUUCAUAUUGGCUACUUAUUUGAUUGGCUAUUGAUUUGGUAUGCGAGUUUGAUUGGAAGAGGAUGAUUAACAUCUCAUACAUAUAAUGAAGCUUCAAAAUGACCCGUUUUUGAACCUAUAUGUAUGUUAUAUGUUUGAUGUCCACUUUGUUUUACUUUUUUUCCCAUAUCUCUGAAACUAAGUAGUGUCAUGGCUAACCUUGCUUUAUGUUUGAUUUCGUUGGUUUUAGUUUUUAUAGUUCUCAUAUUUUGUAAAUGGUUCUUUGCUUUAUGAUUUGUUCACUUUAUUUUGAGCCUUAAAAUGUUUGCAUAAAUUGAACGUUUCCAACUAGAAUAUGAUUUGAUUUUAGAACAAAAAGGGUCAGCAUAUGGAUCAUGAGGGAUUUUGGAAUCAAACAUUUCGAUAUUUAAGUCAUAGUAUCAUAAUAAGUACAUGCCCAAAAAAUACAAUGCAACUACAAAUAUUCAUACAUUAUGUUUAGGAUUUGCAUCUAACAUCACUUUGUGUCCUCUUUGUUUCAAUAUUUCAAGCACAAGCAAAACUACUUCCUUAUAUUUUCAAGAACAAAAAAGUUUCCAAAAACUAUAAUUUCACUCAAAUUGAAGUUGUAUUUAGUGCAAUCUCUCAAUUGAUGCAUUUAGAUAACAAAAGAAGGGUGAUAAGUGAAGUAUAUUUGAGGUACCAUUAUGCCUCUAUGUUCCCUAAACUUAGGAUUUAUCAUUGCAAUACUCCAUAUUAUCCUUUUUAGCUUUUAAAGUGUCGAAUUUUGAUUUUGAAUUUUGGCUGAAAUCAUAAUUUUCCUUUAUCUUUUUUUUUUUUGGUUUUAAUUUUAGCUUUGUUUGAUUCUAUCCACGACUAUUUCCACUUCUUUCAAGUAUAAUACAAGUUGCUUUUGAUGUUUCACUUAUAUUGCAGCAAUUAUAUUUAGUGGGGUAAAUGUCAACGAAAAAGAGUGUCCUUCUCUCAAGUAUUCCUACAUUACAGAUAUGUAAUUAGUUCUGUUUUUCCUUAGCAUGAAUGCAUAAGGGGUUUCUGCAUAAUUUGAAGUUGGUUCAAGGAAGGUAUUUCACAACUAUAGCUUCUACGUCGCGGUGCUUCAACCAUGUUAUAGGUAUGCCAUUAUAUUUAUUUUUUCAUGUAAUAACUGGACUUCGAUUUCUGAAAAGUUGAGUAUUGUGAAAAAGGAGGAAUUGGAAAUAUUGCUGCAAUUAUUCUUACAGGGGUAAAUGUCAAUGACAUAAUAAGAUUGUUGUUCUCUUAAAUAUUCUUAUAUUACUGAUUCAUAAACAUGGACGAACCCAAAAGUCUUGAGUAGUGAGGGCAAUACACGCAUGCACCCACCCACCCACAAAACACACACAUGCAGACACGCAUGCGCAUGCACUACUUUAAUUUUGAAGUCAUAAUUAUACAUCAUAAUUCUUUCGAAAAAAAUAUAUAUUUCAUAAUUGUUCUCUUGUGAUUUCGCGUUCAGUUCUUAAUAAUAUUCAUUGUGCAGAAAACACUUUCAAUAAUUAUAGUUGUCACAUAUAUAUAUAUAUAUAUAUAUAUAUAUAUAUAUAUAUAUAUAUAUAUAUAUAUAUAUAUAUAACUCUAAAAGCAAAUAUACCAAUGAGUACACAACAUAUUUUCUUGUCUUCACUAAUGUUAUAGAAAGAUUUAUGUAUAUAAAAAUAAGAAAAUCCUAAUAAACACCUUUAGGACAUUCUUUAAGCAAUCAAAAGGGAUAACUUUUGCUUAAAAAAUAGUGUAAUUAUUACCAAAUAUUUUCAAAACAAAAAUUAUUUUUAUGAAAUCCUUAAAUAACACCCUUAAAUAGAACACUUGUUUACAUGAUCAUAUAUACCAUUAACCAAAAUAUCUAUAUUAUUAUGUAUAUAUCAUAUUACAAAGAUCGUUAUUUUAGUUAAAAAUAAUACAAAAUAGUAUUCAAUUUUAUCAUAUUAUUUUGAUGCUUGGAACAGAUUUUGGCAUGCUACUAUUUCUUUCAUCAUUGCUGCAAAUGCUUAAUAUCCUAAGGAGAUCGGUGGUUUGAUUUUGUAUGUAAUUAACUUGAUUGUUGUAUUAAGGCUUUUAUUUUGGUUGGUGUGUUAGAGGCUUACAUUAGGACGAUUUUUAUCUUAAUAUUGUAUCUCUAUUAGUCCUUUUGUGUUUUUUAAUAGACCCGUCAAAAGUUUAGUUUAAAAUUUAAACAUAACCCAUAUACUUACUUAUUAGCAAAUACUAACCUGUUCCCUAACUUGUUGACCACGUUUAUUUGUAGUGAUUACUCCAAAUUCUCUUUUGGUUUGCUCCUCAUGAUAUUUUAACAUAAAAUUCAAAUAUGAAAUAUCAGUGAUGACCACUCCAAAUCUUAUUUUGAUCUGGUCAUCACAAUAUCUAAAUUGAAAAUAUAGUCUAUAUGAGUAGUGAAGGUGUCACUGUCAACUAUGCAAAUUUCAAAGUUGAUGAUUAAUCUGAAUCCUCUUUUGGUUUGGUCAUUUGAUUCGGCCGCUAUCCUAAUUUAUAGAUUAUUAAUUUUAGUGGCUCACCCGAGAUUCUUUUUCGGGCUCAGCCAUUGUGUGUUUUCAUUUUUCACUUUGAUGUUCUUCAUUUUUCGAUUCUUUGUGUUUUUGUUUUUUGUUUUGAGAGACACCUUCUACUUCCUCUUUAUGAUAAAAUCGCGAUUUUGAGAACGAUCUUUCUAUCUUCACGAUAUGCUCACCAUUUACAGGAAUUAAACAAGUGUAAUCUUUUUAUUGAAUUCCCUUAUUAAUCUGUAUCAUGUUUUGAUAUGUUUUUUGAUCAUGUAUGAACUUUAUGUUUCAGUUAUAUAGAUCAUGGAAGCUUCUAUUAAAAAGAAGAUGAUCGACAAAAGUGACACCAAUAUAGAGCAAUUAAUUAGGAAAGAAAUUGAAAAGGUGUUUAUACCCUAGCAGUGCAUUUGUAUCAAGUAUAAUGAGUAUUUAGUUUUUUGUUAUAGAAUUUAAUUCUGACAAUUAUUGUUUUAGACAAAUGAAAAUGAGAAAUCUAAUAGGAGGAGGAUUGAGAAGGAGUUCAACCAGAAGCGCCUUGACUUGUACCAGAAGGAAAAAGAAGAUAUCAAAGAGAAAUGUCCUUAUUUCUGGACAAAUCCAAACACACAUAACAUAUUUAUAGUACUAAACUUUUUAAAAUCAAAGGAAGAGAAAAUACAAAUGCAGAUCAUAUAUCUAGUUAACAACCCUACAAUUUUUCCUUAUUUGACCCUGUUGUCCCGUCAAAACACCAAUGCGGCCCAUUUUCUCAACAGAAACCGCAAAAUCUCUGAAAAACAGAAUAGGCCACUUGCUAUAAUAGUUAACCAAUGAAGCAGUUGUGCUGUCACCCAAAAGAGCUUGGUCUGAUUGAAGUAGUCCAGAAUUGCUCAAAACAUUCCUGUAAUAUGUGUUGUCAAAUGUGUUGCUUGUGACAGGAUCCAAUGGAGCUAAAUUGGUGUCGGAAUCAGCUUGAUUUGGACAUACUCUUUGUAAGUUUUGUAGAAGUGAUGAAUCAAGUGAUGGAUCAGAUUUACCCGAGCCACCAAAGUCGAAUAGUCUUGGCUUGAAUGUAAAGCAUUGAGCAAACCCGAAGGUGUGUGCACCUGUAUAUAGUUAAUACACGCGUGAAAUCGGUCGCUUCACUAACUAGUAAUCCAUUCGGUCUCAUAUGUAAAAAUUCUUUUUUUUCAGAUUCAAUGAAAUUUUAAGGAUUUAAGGUAUGUCUUUUUACUACUAGCCCAAACUUUUGGAGUUAAGGAUUUAAACAUUAAUAGAGAAAUGUUUUGAUGACCUUAUCAGAUAAAAUUAUAUGAGACAUAUAUUUGCUAUUCAUUGUUUUCUUUUACUAGGCCAACUCUAAUGGGUUUUAUAUGUUGUUCAUGUUAUGUUACAAACAUUUUCAUACAAAUAAUUGUGAAGGAAGUAAACCUGAGAGCACUGCUACAUCCUUCUUUUCAAGACCUUUGGAAAUGAACUUAGCAGUAAUAUUUUCAAGAGGUUCAAAGGGUGAUGGCAAGUUAUUUGCCUCACUCUCACUCGCGGUUGUGCCAUCUCUACGACCAAGAGGCACAGCCCAAAAUGGACCUCUACUCUGGAAAAGAAAAAAUACAAAAAUUUUAAGUAACAAUAUGUUGGAAACAUGCAGUAAUUAAAAUGUUAUUGCUCAUGCAUGAUAUAUUGAAUCAGCUUCUUCAAACUUAUUCAAAUAGUUAUAAAGUAGUGAGUUCUUACUUGAUAUACAGCAUCUCUGGCUGCUAGAGUAAGUAUAUCAGCACAUGACACUGUGUUGGGACAAGCAUACUCUAAAUCAGACUUUAUUUUGUCAAUUAUAUCAAAUCCUCUUAAUGAAUUUUUAUUAGGAAGUGCAUUUUUCUCCCCUUUUAGUGUGUCUGUAUCAUCCAGUAGCACAGAUCCUUCACAUCCCUAUGUAACACAAAAAUGAAAUAACAAAUCAACACAUAAUAUUAUUAAAGAAUAAUUUUAACGAUCCAACGGUAUAUUAAUUGACAGUGUAAAAAAUAAUGGAAAUGAAGAGACUUAAUUACAUUGACAAAACAAUCAUGGAAAUGAAGGCGCAAGAGAGAAGCAGCAAUCCUUGAGUCAUUAGCUAUAGCUGACAAGAUAUUAUUUUUAACAAUUCUGUUCAGGUUUGGACAAGUUCUAAUGUAGAAGUUGUAAUAGAGUUGAGAGCACACAUUUGGAGUAAGAAACACAAGACAAAACAUGAAAACAAAAACAUGUUUGUUAGAGACACACUCCAUGAGUUGAAACUAUGAUGACAACAAAGGGAAGUUAAAAUUUGUUGAGUUUAACAAACAUAAUUAGAA